UCCAACUUAUCGCUGGCGGUCUCCUGAGAGUGCUUCCCUUGCGGGAGUGGCAACACAGGACAGGGGUUGCGCUCGUUGCGGGACUUAACCCAACAUCUCACGACACGAGCUGACGACGGCCAUGCAGCACCUCGACUCCGGUCUCUUGCGAGAAGUCUCUGUUUCCAAAGAUGUUCCAAAGCCGUUCGAGCCCAGGUAAGGUUCUUCGCGUUGCGUCGAAUUAAACCACAUGCUCCACCGCUUGUGCGGGCCCCCGUCAAUUCCUUUGAGUUUCAGCCUUGCGGCCGUACUCCCCAGGCGGGGCACUUAAUGCGUUAGCUGCGGCACCGGCGGUAACCCGCCGACACUUAGUACCCAUCGUUUACAGCGUGGACUAC
rnacentral:misc_RNA from 1 species